AAAUGCGAUAAGUAAUGUGAAUUGCAGAAUUCAGUGAAUCAUCGAAUCUUUGAACGCACCUUGCGCUCCUUGGUAUUCCUUGGAGCAUGCCUGUUUGAUUAUCAUGAAAUCUUCAAAGUAAAUCUUUUGUUAACUCAAUUGGUUUCUACUUUGGUAUUGGAGGUCUUUGCAGCUUCACACCUGCUCCUCUUUGUUCAUUAGCUGGAUCUCAGUGUUAUGCUUGGUUCCACUCGGCGUGAUAAGUUAUCUAUCGCUGAGGACACUGUAAAAGGUGGCCAAGGUAAAUGCAGAUGAACCGCUUCUAAUAGUCCAUUGACUUGGACAAUACUUUUAUGAUCUGAUCUCAAAUCAGGUAGGACUACCCGCUGAACUUAAGC
rnacentral:misc_RNA from 1 species